AGAGUUUGAUCCUGGCUCAGAUUGAACGCUGGCGGCAUGCCUUACACAUGCAAGUCGAACGGUAACGCGGGGCAACCUGGCGACGAGUGGCGAACGGGUGAGUAACGCAUCGGAACGUGCCCAGUAGUGGGGGAUAGCCCGGCGAAAGCCGGAUUAAUACCGCAUACGACCUACGGGUGAAAGCGGGGGACCGUAAGGCCUCGCGCUAUUGGAGCGGCCGAUGUCAGAUUAGGUAGUUGGUGGGGUAAAAGCCUACCAAGCCGACGAUCUGUAGCUGGUCUGAGAGGACGACCAGCCACACUGGGACUGAGACACGGCCCAGACUCCUACGGGAGGCAGCAGUGGGGAAUUUUGGACAAUGGGCGCAAGCCUGAUCCAGCCAUGCCGCGUGCGGGAUGAAGGCCUUCGGGUUGUAAACCGCUUUUGUCAGGGAAGAAACGCUCCGGGCCAAUACCCUGGGGUAAUGACGGGACCUGAAGAAUAAGCACCGGGUAACUA
rnacentral:rRNA from 1 species